UACGAAGGGGGCUAGCGUUGCUCGGAAUCACUGGGCGUAAAGGGUGCGUAGGCGGGUCUUUAAGUCAGAGGUGAAAUCCUGGAGCUCAACUCCAGAACUGCCUUUGAUACUGAGGAUCUUGAGUUCGGGAGAGGUGAGUGGAACUGCGAGUGUAGAGGUGAAAUUCGUAGAUAUUCGCAAGAACACCAGUGGCGAAGGCGGCUCACUGGCCCGAUACUGACGCUGAGACGCGAAAGCGUGGGGAGCAAACAGG
rnacentral:rRNA from 1 species